UACCAGACUCCUACGGGAGGCAGCAGUGGGGAAUAUUGCACAAUGGGGGAAACCCUGAUGCAGCGACGCCGCGUGAGCGAUGAAGUAUUUCGGUAUGUAAAGCUCUAUCAGCAGGGAAGAAGAUGACGGUACCUGACUAAGAAGCCCCGGCUAACUACGUGCCAGCAGCCGCGGUAAUACGUAGGGGGCAAGCGUUAUCCGGAUUUACUGGGUGUAAAGGGGGCGCAGACGGCGAUGCAAGCCAGGAGUGAAAGCCCGGGGCCCAACCCCGGGACUGCUCUUGGAACUGCGUGGCUGGAGUGCAGGAGGGGCAGGCGGAAUUCCUGGUGUAGCGGUGAAAUGCGUAGAUAUCAGGAGGAACACCGGUGGCGAAGGCGGCCUGCUGGACUGCAACUGACGUUGAGGCCCGAAAGCGUGGGGAGCAAACAGGAUUAGAUACCCUGGUAUC
rnacentral:rRNA from 1 species